rnacentral:rRNA from 1 species
GACAGAGGGUGCAAACGUUGUUCGGAAUUACUGGGCGUAAAGCGUGUGUAGGCGGCCAUUCAAGUCGGAUGUGAAAGCCCCGGGCUCAACCCGGGAAGUGCACCCGAAACUGGAUGGCUUGAGUAUCGGAGAGGUUGGUGGAAUUCUCGGUGUAGAGGUGAAAUUCGUAGAUAUCGAGAGGAACACCGGUGGCGAAGGCGGCCACUGGAACGAAUACUGACGCUGAGACACGAAAGCGUGGGGGAGCAAACAGG